rnacentral:rRNA from 1 species
CUACGGGAGGCAGCAGUGGGGAAUAUUGGACAAUGGGCGAAAGCCUGAUCCAGCAAUGCCGCGUGAGUGAAGAAGGCCUUAGGGUUGUAAAGCUCUUUCGCCUGCGACGAUGAUGACGGUAGCGGGAGAAGAAGCCCCGGCUAAUUUCGUGCCAGCAGCCGCGGUAAUACGAAAGGGGCUAGCGUUGUUCGGAAUUACUGGGCGUAAAGAGCAUGUAGGCGGCUUGGCAAGUGAGGCGUGAAAGUCCUGGGCUCAACCUGGGGACUGCGCUUCAGACUGCCUCGCUUGAGUCCGGAAGAGGGUGGUGGAAUUCCGAGUGUAGAGGUGAAAUUCGUAGAUAUUCGGAGGAACACCGGUGGCGAAGGCGGCCACCUGGUCCGGCACUGACGCUAAAGUGCGAAAGCGUGGGGAGCAAACAGGAUUAGAAACCCUUGUAGUCC